AGUUCUCCUCUUAAUUGUCUACAUCAUAAAGAAAUUGUUUAAACACUAUCUUCUCUCUGAAACCACACUGAAUUGCAGUGCUUUAUAACUCAGUCAUAAAUUAAAACACAAGCCCUAAAAACCAACUCUUUCUUCAAUUCAACAUGAUAUUUGACAGUGGUGCAACAAUUAGAUACAAGUGGAGAAAAUAAAAACUUUCAACUACCACAAUUACACGGCAGUCAAGACACUUUUUGUUUUUUCAUCAAAUAAUCAAAUAUUCAAGUUUAGUUGCUUCUAACAAGACAAAAAGGUCGUAACAAUUGAUGCCUGCAUAUAUCUACCUCAUCAACAGUCUAGUGAAAUGGGGUUUCUAUCAUCCCCUUUCAUUUCCACCAAAAAAAAUAAAGUGCAAAUGGGGAAAAACCCAAAAUUCCAUCAAUCGUAAAAUUCACUAACAAUACCUAAAAUCAAAAAGUAAACUACCCCAUCAUCAAUCCCACGCAAAUCCAUCCAUACCUUUUCAAAUUGUUAGAAUCAAAUAAUCCAGUUACAUUUACCAAAAGAAGAGGAAAAGGGCAACCUUUAUCCUAAAACAAAAAUCCAAACAAAAAAAUAAAACGUA
rnacentral:misc_RNA from 1 species